rnacentral:rRNA from 1 species
AUGAUGAGGCCGAUCACAUCUUUGAUCCAUGACCCUCUAGAGAUAGUAGCAGAUUUAAUUGAUGCAUCGACCGCUUCUUGGAGGGAAGAACUGAUUAGACAAGUGUUUGUUCCAGUGGAUGCCGAGGCCAUUCUGAGGAUUCCCCUAUGCACUCGUCAGGUCGACGACUUUUGGGCGUGGUCCGAGGAUCCGAGAGGCCGGUUCUCUGUCAGGACUGCAUAUAAUAUGAUAUACCGUAUAAAGAGUGGAAGAGAAGCAUGGCUUGAGGAAGGAGAGCAUACUUCUAAUCUCCAGGGGCUGACAAAGAGCUGGGCUGCCUUAUGGAAGCUAAAAGUGUCGUCGAAGCUGAAAGUUUUUACAUGGAGAUUGGCCCAACACUCGCUACCAACGAUAGAUCUACUGCAGCAUCGAAACAUGGCCACCAUGGAUGUGUGUGGAGUGUGCGGGGCGCAUGAUAGUUGGCGUUACUCACUACUGGACUGCGCCCUGUCCAGGAGCACUUGGGCUCUGUCGAAGGAAGAGAUGGUGCAACAUAUGGCGAUGAACCGAAGUGCUGACGCAAAGGAGUGGCUAUUCUCCAUGUUCGAUUCGAUGCCCAGCGACGAGCUUGUAACAAUGAUUGUCACUCUUUGGGCGAUCUGGUCUUCACGGAGGAAGUUAAUACAUGAGGGAAUUUUUCAAACACCGUUUUCCACCCACGGUUUCAUAUCGAAUUACCUGUCGGAGAUUCAGUUCAUGGAGAAGCCAGCGAAGGACAAGCAAGCACCAGCUCCUAGAACGGCGGAGUGGAUCCCUCCUCCAGAAUAUCACAUGAAAGUCAAUGUCGAUGCGGCGGUUGCCAGACAUGGGGGCUUCGGGACAGCAACAGCAAUUUGUCGAGAUGGUAGUGGGGAGUUUCAAGGAGCGUCAGUGAACCGUUUCAAUAACAUCGAUGAUCCAGAAACGUUGGAGACUUUGGCAAUACGUGAAGCUCUGGCCCUCGCGGAUGAUUUGCUCUUCCACAAGAUUUCAGUGGCGUCGGAUUGUAAGCUGGCCGUUGAUGCGAUCAAGCAAGGCACUUGUGCACAAUAUGGGGCCGUGGUACAUGAAAUCAUAGAUCGCUCUAGAGAUUUUCUUCGUGUUUAA